CGGGAAACCGGAGCUAAUACCGGAUAAUAUAUUGAACCGCAUGGUUCAAUAGUGAAAGACGGUUUUGCUGUCACUUAUAGAUGGAUCCGCGCCGCAUUAGCUAGUUGGUAAGGUAACGGCUUACCAAGGCAACAAUGCGUAGCCGACCUGAGAGGGUGAUCGGCCACACUGGAACUGAGACACGGUCCAGACUCCUACGGGAGGCAGCAGUC
rnacentral:rRNA from 1 species